AUGGUGGUACCCAUGUCUAUGGGGGGCAUGGGAUUCCGCGAUAUGAGAGCCUUCAACCAGGCUUUGCUAGGUAAGCAAGCUUGGCGAUUAUUGGACUGUCCAGAUAGCCUGUGUGCAAGACUUCCUAGAGCCAAAUAUUAUCCCCAUGGUAAUCUGUUGGAUAUUGUAUUCCCUGCGAGCUCGUCCGCAGUGUGGAAGGGGAUUGUACACAGUCUUGAAUUGGUGAAGAAAGGCAUUAUUUGGCGUGUGGGAGAUGGGACUUUAAUUAGAACUUGGAGAGAUGCUUGGAUUCCGAGGGGUCAUACUCUUUGGCCAAUAACAGCAAAACGUAACUGCAGACUAAAUUGGUGGCUGAUUUCUUGGAUGAACAUGGUGCUUGGAAUGAGCAAAGGUUGUGAGAACAUUUUUGGGACAUGGAUGUACGUGAUAUUCUUAAGAUCCGUACCUCGCCGAGGAAUGGCCAAGACUUCCUAG
rnacentral:rRNA from 1 species